GGGCCCCAGAAUGUGAACAGGCCUUCCAACAGCUCAAGACGGCGCUCAUUAAAUCACCUGUACUUUCUUCUCCUGAUCCAACUAAACACUUUCUCGUCCAUACAGACGCUUCUAUGCUUGGAUUGGGAGCAGUAUUGAGCCAAGUCGGAGCAGAUUGUGGCUAGCAACCCGGGGCUUAUCUAAGCCGUAAACUUUUGCACAGCGAAGUAUAUUCACUGCCAUUGAAAAGGAGUGCAUAGCGG